CUCCCGAGAAAAUGGGCUAAACUCAUGUUGGCGGUACCCGUACCGCAAACCGACACAGGUAGUUGGGUAGAACAUACUAAGGCGUUGAGAGAUUCAUGGCUAAGGAACUAGGCAAACUGACCCCGUAACUUCGGGAUAAGGGGUCCUCACCUCCGGGUGAGGCGCAGAGAAUAGGUCCAGGCAACUGUUUAACAAAAACACAGGGCUGUGCGAACUCGAAAGAUGAAGUAUACAGCCUGACACCUGCCCGGUGCCGGAAGGUUAAGAGGAGAUGUCACCGCAAGGGAAGCAUUGAAUUGAAGCCCCGGUAAACGGCGGCCGUAACAAUAACGGUCCUAAGGUAGCGAAAUUCCUUGUCGGGUAAGUUCCGACCUGCACGAAUGGUGUAAUGAUCCGGACGCUGUCUCGGCCAUGAGCUCAGUGAAAUUGUAGUAUCGGUGAAGAUGCCGAUUACCCGCGAUGGGACGAAAAGACCCCGUGAACCUUUACUACAGCUUAGCAUUGACCUUGGUCAUCCGAUGUGUAGGAUAGGCCGGAGGCUUCGAAGCGGCGUCGCCAGGCGUUGUGGAGCCAUCCUUGAAAUACGGCCCUUUGGCUGUCUGAGGUCUAACGCGGAUAGUCGCGGACACUGCUUGGUGGGUAGUUUGACUGGGGUGGUCGCCUCCAAAAGCGUAACGGAGGCUUCCAAAGGUGCCCUCGGGCCGUUUGGUAAGCGGCCUUCAAGAGUGCAAUGGCAAAAGGGCGCUUGACUGGGAGGGAGACAUCCCGAGCAGGCAGGAAACUGGGGCAUAGUGAUCCGGCGGAUGUGUAUGGAAACUCCGUCGCUCAAAGGAUAAAAGGUACUCCGGGGAUAACAGGCUGAUCCCCCCCAAGAGCUCAUAUCGACGGGGUGGUUUGGCACCUCGAUGUCGGCUCGUCACAUCCUGGGGCUGGAGAAGGUCCCAAGGGUUGGGCUGUUCGCCCAUUAAAGUGGCACGCGAGCUGGGUUCAGAACGUCGUGAGUCAGUUCGGUCUCUAUCUAUCGUGGGCGCAGGAGUUUUGAGUGGUGCUGUCACUAGUACGAGAGGACCGUGACGGACAGACCUCCGGUGUACCGGUUGUGCCGCCAGGCGCACCGCCGGGUAUCCGCGUCUGGAUCGGAUAAGCGCUGAAAGCAUCUAAGUGCGAAGCUUUCCACGAGAUUAGAACUCCAUUGAGGGUCGUCGCAGACGACGACGUUGAUAGGGCGCAGGUGUAAAGACGGCGACGUCAAAGCCGAGCGCUACUAAUUGCCCGAAAA
rnacentral:rRNA from 1 species